rnacentral:rRNA from 1 species
AUUGAACGCUGGCGGCAGGCCUAACACAUGCAAGUCGAACGAGUGGCGGACGGGUGAGUAAUGUCUGGGAAACUGCCCGAUGGAGGGGGAUAACUACUGGAAACGGUAGCUAAUACCGCAUACCAUCGGAUGUGCCCAGAUGGGAUUAGCUUGUAGGUGAGGUAACGGCUCACCUAGGCGACGAUCCCUAGCUGGUCUGAGCGGAUGAACAGCAAUGUGGGAACUGAGACACGGUCCAGACGCCAACGGGAGGCAGAAGUGGGGAAUAUUGCACAAGGGGAGAAAGGCUUAUGUAGCCAGGGCGGGUGUAUGAAGAAGGCCGUGGGGUUGUAAAGUACUUGCAGCGGGGAGGCGUUACCCGCAGAAGAAGCACCGGCUAACUCCGUGCCAGCCGCCGCGGUAAUAC